rnacentral:misc_RNA from 1 species
UUUCCGUAGGUGAACCUGCGGAAGGAUCAUUACAAAAGGUUGAAUAAAGUGUCCACCUUUGCCGGUGGGCACGAUAACCAAAAAAGAUCAACCCCACUCUUGUGCACUCAUUGGAGUCAUGGAUCUCUUUUGAUCCGUGGCUCCCAACCUCUUUUUUCCUCCCUUUUUUUUUCUGUCUGAGUUUGUAAAAACAAACAAAUAAUAUUAUACAACUUUCAACAACGGAUCUCUUGGCUCUCGCAUCGAUGAAGAACGCAGC